ensembl:lncRNA novel transcript
AACCUGAGGCCGGCGGGGGAGGGGCCGGCGAGGAUGAGAGACCCCAGCAGGAAAUGCAGCUGAGCACAGAGGGAUGGAACAAGCCCUGUCUACUGCUUUAUUAAGCCCCAGCAGAAAAUAUACUGAAGCCAGGUUCUCAGUCACUUCAGCGUUUCAUUUGGGCUUCAAACUCUGAUGAAGUGAGCCCCACGAAUCCCCUGUGGACAGGCAUGACACAACGCUGGCAGGCAUGUGCCAGGCAGGGAGAGGGUAGGAUGGCUGGUGGACCCUCAGAAAGACCCGACCUGAGCUUUCCCUGUAGGGACUGAGCAGAGUGGAGAAUUGAGCCCCCUAAAGUGAGCAGCACAGAGCCAUGGGGGGCAGGGGCAUCCCUGGCUGCAUAGUGGGAAGGCAAUGGCCUGGCCGCCAGGGACAGGCACAGGGAUGCCCAGCCAGGCCCGCUGUCUUCCCGUGUGAGGAGUGAGGCGCCAGGGUAUGCGGUGGGCAGGAAGCUACAUCCUGAAUGUCAAGGGGCAGCCCAGGCUGCUCCUCCUUCCCUCCCCUGC